rnacentral:rRNA from 1 species
AAGUUAUUAAUUAUUGUUAUUGUUAUUAAAAGUUUUUAUUAGAUUAAUAAAAAUAAUUUUAAUUUAAUUUAGUUAAAGUAUAUUUUAAAGAAAAAAUUUUGGAUAAUUAUAGAAAAUUAGUAUUGUAAAAGAAUUUUGAAAUAUUAUUAAAUUUUAAUUUUUUAAAAAGUAAAUUUAAUUUAUUGUACCUUGUGUAUCAGGGUUUAUUAAUUAAAAAAUAUUUAAUUUUAUUUUUCUCGAAUUUAAAAGAUCUAUUUUAAUAUAAUUUUUAUUGUAAAAUAAAUAUUUUUAAUAUUAAAAUAGAAAUGAGAUGUUAUUCGUUUUUAAAUAUAUCUAGUUUUUUAAUAAAUGAAUUUAAUUCAGAUAUUAUUUAAAUAUAUAAUUUUUUUUUUGUUAAUUAUAAAUUAAUAUUAAUAUUUUAAGGGAUAAGCUUUGAAAUAUAACUUUAAAAUUUAUAAAUUUAUUAAUUUAUUUAUAUAAGCUUAGAAAUAGUUUUUAUUUUAAAAAUGUUAUAAUUUUAAUAAAUUGAAAUAAUUAAUUAAGAUUUUUAUGGGAUUUAAUAUUUUAUUAAAAUAAAUUAUUUAAUUUGAAAUUUAAUUGAAAUAAUGAUAAAAUUAGUAAAUAAAAUUUUUGUUAAUUUGUUUAAUUUAAUUAAAAGUUAUUUAUAGGAAUUCGGCAAAAAUUAUACUCACCUGUUUAACAAAAACAUGUCUUUUUGAUUAAUAAAUAAUUUAAAGUCUAAUCUGCUCUAUGAAUUUAAUUUUAAAUGGCCGCAGUAUUUUGACUGUGCAAAGGUAGCAUAAUAAUUAGUCUUUUAAUUAAAGGCUGGAAUGAAUGAUUUGAUGAGGUAUAAUCUUUCUUUAAUUAAUUUAAUAUUGAAUUUAAUUUUUAAGUUAAAAAGCUUAAAUUUAUUUAAAGGACGAGAAGACCCUAUAGAGUUUUAUAAUUUUAAUUAUACAUAUUUUUAAUUUUAAUUUGUAUAUUUUUAAUUAUUUUGUUGGGGUGACAAAAAAAUUUAUUUAACUUUUUAUUUAUUAUAAUCAUUGAUUUAUGAAUUUUUGAUCCUUUUUUUAAGAUUAAGAGUUUAAAUUACCUUAGGGAUAACAGCGUUAUUUUUUUUAGAGUUCUUAUCAAUAGAAAAGAUUGCGACCUCGAUGUUGGAUUAAAAUUUAAUUUAGGUGAAGAAGCUUAAAAUUUAGGUCUGUUCGACCUUUGAAAUUUUACAUGAUCUGAGUUCAAACCGGUGUAAGCCAGGUUGGUUUCUAUCCUUAAAAAAUUAUAAAUUUUUAGUACGAAAGGACCAAGAUUUAGAAUUAAAUUUAAUUUUAAGAAAUUUAUUAAUUUAUUAAGUAAAAUUUAAA